UUUUAAAAUAUAAAAAAUAUAAAAUUCAGUAGUGUAAAGCAUACUUACUUUAUUGUGCAACUGUAAAUUAUUUUAUUAAUUUCUGUAAUCUCCAUGGUGCCUAACGUGUUUACUGAAUGGUCAGGACUUUGCCACCCAAUCCCCAAACCGCCAGUCCCCAAAUCCCAAUGCUCCUGAGUCCACUGUGCCCUAAGGGAUACUAGGUGGGCCUAUUGGCAAGGACGGAGUUAAUAUUUCUAAGGCAAAUUAUUUUAAAUUUUUCCUACCUAUGAGCUGUCAUACAUCUCAGAUCUUUAAUUUUACUUGCUGAUUUUCAAAAUAGGUCAUAAAUUCACAUGGUGGUUCAAAAUUCAAUAAGUAUAAAAGAUUAUACAGUAAAAAUUCUCCAUUUUAGUCCCCCAGCCAUCAAAUUCCUCUCCCUGGAGGCAACCCUUAUCUUCCUUAUUAUUCUAUGUAUACACAAGCAAAACACUCACAAACACAUUUCGUCUGCCCCACCUUUCCCACAAAUUGUAGCAUACUGUUUACACUGUUCAGUACCUUGCUUUUUUCACUUAAUAUAUCUUGAAGGUCAUUCCAUUUAGUACACUCAUUUUUCACACUUUAUGGAUAUAUGUAGCCUAUUAAUAAGUUCCCUAUAGAUCAAUAUUUAGGGUUUUCAAAAUUUUUUUUUUGCGAAUCUUUUGCUAGUAAAACAUUACUGCAAUAAAUAUCCUCUCUAUAAAUAUCAUUUUGCAAGUAUGCGAGUACAUCUAAUGGAUAAAUUUCAAGACUUGAAAUUUCUUGGUCGAGGGUGUGUACAUCUGUGGUUUUAGCAGACAUCGCUGGAGAUUUUUAUAUUGCUGCUUCCCCUCUCCGCUCCGUCGCAGUAGAGAGUUGCUUCAGUGGAACGACAGAUGUUACCUCCUGACAACAGCAGUGUGUGUUCUGCGUGUGAACAGUGUGGAGGCAGAAAAAACAGACUCGCUACCCGCCACCCACUCCCGGAUUUUGAAAGCAGAGAGAGAGCAGCAGUAGGAAUGUUCGGGGAAAAAAGUCAAGGAUCAUGGCACACUGAGACUGGAGAUUUUGGUGCCAGUCAGACAUCAAGAAAACCUCCAAGGGGAACAAUACAAGCUCUGACAGGAAGAUCUGGGAUCAGAGGAACCAGAUGGAGCAAACCUGCCCAGACUUUCCUUCGGGAAAUAGGAGGGGAAAAGGACACAGUUCAGAACGCAGUAAGGAGCAAAAGUACCUUAUUCUUGUUGCAUGCUGAGUAGAAAUGAAAUAGUCUUGUGGGGCUAAGUCAAAGGGAAACACCCAGCCUUUUCUUUCCUCUGGGCAGAGUCUGACUGUCUGCGGUGUGAUUGAAAGCCCCGCAUGGAGCUGUACGUGUCCCUCACUGUCUCCAGGAGGAGAGCCGUUUCAGAGACAGCGUGGAAGUUGUAGGAGUUCGGGCACAGUCCACUGCCUGGAUCCAAUUUCUACAGUUAGAUGCAAGCUACGGAGGAUGCAGGCAUCCGGGCUGGGGAAAGCAGGCCUUGCAAUGGUGGGCAGCUUAGGCGGAGGUGCUUUUUAAGGCAGUUUCCUACUUUUCUGCAUUCUUCAUUUCAUCUGUGUUUUGGGUCCAAUUGAGGUUGAAAGACAGGAUUCUAAUUUUCUCUCUGGACCUGUAUGUGGUGGUGGGUUUUCCCCAUAGGUUGAGGAUAUUGUAUUCA
rnacentral:lncRNA from 1 species